GAAAUCAACUCAAGCACUUUUGCAUGGUCAUGGAGGAAGAGUCCCGUCUUGUUGCGGUCUCCCCCGCGAAAAUCAACGGCGGAAAGUCACUGGCACCUGGCGUAGUAGAAUCUGUUCGCUGUUCAGCCAGUGUCGUUCCUGCCGGCAAACCCCCCACAAUUCUCUU
rnacentral:misc_RNA from 1 species